AGAACAGAUUCCUGCAUCCAAAGCUUUACAAGAAAUCCCGUCAGAACACAAAACCGCAUGGGAUGGUGCUGAUUUAGGAUGGGAAGAAUCCAUACAUGCUAAAACCUCUCAGGGAAGACGAGUCCAAGGACCAGAUCCUCAGUCAGUGUAAAGUGGCAUAGUUCUUUUAUCUUCAUUGAAUAUACUGACAUCAGCUGGGGAUCACGCCCCAAGGUUUCAAUUGCUGUCAGCUAGGAACUGAUGGAAGCAAGGUAUGCAUUAACACACUAAGGCUCUUAGGAAAAAAUGGUUCCAAAGGGUACACUAAAGCCCUUAAACCAAUUUCAGAAACAAAAUGAAAAUUAAAGAAGCAAAGAGGGAACUGCCCCUAGUGACUUGAAAAGUUCUCUAAGAGCGAAAGCAACAAGAGCGGUUGAAAAGGGAAAAUGUUAAGAACACAGCCUUCCUCUGAAAAGCAAUAUACAGCCUACUGAGAAGCUAACAGUGCACAGAAAGCUACAGGGCUCCUUUGUGUUUACAGUUAAAUUAACUUGAGAUUGACAUAGAAUGAGAAUAAAAUGUCAAAAGGUCAAAGCAAUGUCAAGUGUAUACCAAGCCCUUUGUUUACAUGGCAUAGUUUCUACCCUUUAAAAUUGUUUAAUAUCUUCAUUCAUCAGCAAGUCUUAGUCUGGAAAAGACUGACGUCAGGCUGGUAGUUUGGAGGUAAGCAAUCAGAGGACUUGCCAAUUUCCUCCAUAUUGUCACUUGAGGAAAUUGGCUUCUAUUGUUACCUCCCGAACAGAUUGCUUUUGUACUUUCUAUAUGGGGGGAGGGGGGUACACUUUAAGAUUGGGAAAAAUGUGGCUUUCCAUUUGUAAAGUGGUACUUCCUGGAAGAAACACAUGAGAUGAUCAGCACUGGCUUCCAAAUUCUUUCUUGGUGCAAUCAAAGGUUAUUUUAGCCUAUAAAACCCCAAAUGGUUUGAAUCUUGAAUGCUUUAAACAUCAUUUUCUCCCUAAGUGACACUGAGAUGUUUGCUAUUAGCUGGGGUGCUCAAACUAAGACACCCCUGGCCAAAAUAAGAAGGGGCACGAGGGGAACAGGGCAGAAAUAGAGACACGUUGUUUUCAAUGAGGGGCCUUGGAUUUUGGAAACCAUGUCUCCACCAGAGCCUGAUUCUGUUGACCAUCACGUCAUGCAGUAUAACUUGGGUGUCCCCAAGGCAUUUUCAGGGAAGGAGGGGAGAAAAGUGGGUGGGAGUGAUGGUCAGAGAGUUGGUUUUGGAGGUAUUUAGGAGAAUUUUUAGUGCUGGACUUUUUUCAAGUUGAAUUUGUGUGUCCACAAAUAAAGUUGGUUUACAUUUUCUACACGUACCUAAAAUUUUGGAUAGGUGAUUUUUUAAAUAAGACUAAAUAAAACAGAUAAUAUAAAUGGAGACUUAGAAAUCACAAAUGCAUUUACAACUUAAAACAUAUGAAAAUCAGACUUACUUGCCAAGUCUUGAGUUCAAACUGCUGUAUCUCCCAUGCAGCAGUUGAAGAUAUCACAAACACUCAAGCCAGUCAGGCAGUAGGGCAGAAAAAUACUUUCCAAAAUAUUUUUAGUGUUCAGGACAUGAAGCCAUCAAUGAUGAAGCUUUUACAUUAUCCAGUGUCUGUUUGCCAUUAUGCUUGACUGCGGCCCAUCUGCACUACCAUCAUCAUGAUCGAAUGAUAAGCGAUGCAAGAUCUCUUGAAGAAGAAACUGGGAACCAUGAUUUCUAAGCUCGGUUCUUGGAUCUGCCCUUACUCUAGUGCCUUGGGCAAAUCACUUAACCUUUGUUUCUCAAUCUGUUAUAUGAAAAUAAUACCGACUCCCCUAUGCCCCCCCACCGGGGUGUUAUAAGGUUUAAUUAAAAUUGUAACAUACUUUGGAAGUA